AGAAAUUAGCCAUCAACGUUAGCGCCAGGGGAUCUUCUCCUGCUCCUCAACCUUCUUCUCCGGCCCCUCAGCCCAGCGGUAGUACUCCCUCUCCGGUUCCUGCACCAGCACGGACACCGACACCGGCACCAGCACCAGCACCAGAACCAGCAACAACACCUACGCCAGCACCAGCAUCAGCACCAACACCAACACCGAGAUCAGCACCAACACCAGCUCCCACAAGACAGCCAGCGACUCAUGUUGUUGGAGGUGCUCUAGGAUGGACUGUCCCUCCCAACGCUUCUGUGGGUUACCAGAAUUGGGCUCGCAACAACAACUUUUCGGUCGGAGACAUU
rnacentral:lncRNA from 1 species